CUUUACCAGGGUAGCAGCUUGCCACCCUGCAGACAGCAGGAAUGGCGGGGAGUGAAGCGCAGAACAGUUCCUCGAGGUGGUCCUGAUGGAAGCUGGAGAACCACUGUUAUACUGACUGUCAAUGAUGACGAUAAAGUUCCUGUCGUCAGCCUACUGAAGGAAGGGUCUUGGAAAGCAUUCAGGUCAUCAGCUGCUAUGCUAUGAACAUGCUCAGGCAACUCACAGAGAGGCCCUUGUCAUGGGAAACUGAGGCUGCCAGAAAGAAACCACCCAAGUGAGUUUGGCAGCAGAUUCUUCAGUCUCAGUCAAGCGUUGAGAUGACUGCAGCCUUGACAGACAGCACAACUGCAGCCUCGAGAGAAAGCCUGAGCCAGAGGCACCCAGCUAAGCUGUGCCCAGAUUUCUUAACUACAGAACUGGUGAUUAAUAAAUGUUUGCUGUUUUAAACCAC
rnacentral:lncRNA from 1 species